rnacentral:misc_RNA from 1 species
AAUGACGCCAUCUGAUAUGAGACCACCUUCCAUAGAGGACUCGAGGAAUGCUUCAAGUUUACCUUUGUCAUAUGACUCAUCACUACCAGUAGUCUCGAUAAGGACAUAAAAAUUAUAUAAUGAGGUUGGUAAAGGAUUUCGAACGCCUUCCAAGUGAGCCAAAACCAAAUCCAUAGCAUGACUGUCCAUAAAUUCAAACGCGG